GUUGUUGAAGUCUUUUUACAAAUAUGCAAACAGAGACUGUUCUCCGAGGAAUAUUGACUCGAUUCCUUUUCUAAUCCCCGAGGUUCCAAAUCAAGAUGAUGACAAAAGCUGCGGAUUUUAUGUGUUGUUUUAUACAACUCAAUUCUUGAAGAUGUGUCCUCACACGUUCAAUUUAAUGAAGGAUUACCCUUCGUUUAUGUCAACAACUUGGUUUAGCGAUGAAGACGUUGAGGAAUUGAGAACCGGUUUGCUGGAUCUGUUCCAAAAAGAAU